rnacentral:rRNA from 1 species
GAUGAACGCUGGCGGCGUGCCUAAUACAUGCAAGUCGAGCGAACGGACGAGAAGCUUGCUUCUCUGAUGUUAGCGGCGGACGGGUGAGUAACACGUGGAUAACCUACCUAUAAGACUGGGAUAACUUCGGGAAACCGGAGCUAAUACCGGAUAAUAUUUUGAACCGCAUGGUUCAAAAGUGAAAGACGUUCUUUCUGUCACUUAUAUAUGGAUCCGCGCUGCAUUAGCUAGUUGGUAAGGUAACGGCUUACCAAGGCAACGAUGCAUAGCCGACCUGAGAGGGUGAUCGGCCACACUGGAACUGAGACACGGUCCAGACUCCUACGGGAGGCAGCAGUAGGGAAUCUUCCGCAAUGGGCGAAAGCCUGACGGAGCAACGCCGCGUGAGUGAUGAAGGUCUUCGGAUCGUAAAACUCUGUUAUUAGGGAAGAACAUAUGUGUAAGUAACUGUGCACAUCUUGACGGUACCUAAUCAGAAAGCCACGGCUAACUACGUG